rnacentral:tRNA from 1 species
UACUCAAGUAGCUUAAGUUUAGAGUAUAACACUGAAGAUGUUAGGGUAAUUUUAUAAUUUUUGAGUAU